UCCUGAGUAGCUGGGAUGACAGGCAUGCACCACCAAGCCUAGAGAGAAGCAAUCAUUGGCCACCCACUAUAGCUGGAGACCCCAGAACUUGGUGUCUGCCUCCCAUAGCACCAGGAAGGGUGGAGGCAGGUAAGAAAAAUCAUCCCCUCUCUCCCACAGCCAUCAGAGCAGGGCUCUGGCUCACAGGUGCCUUUAGAAGUACCAUUUCAUGUGAGGGCUACAAUGCCCCAUUUUACAGGUGGGGAAACAAAGGCCUGGAGGGCUAGGGAAGAGGGCAGACUCCCCAGGUGGGGGAACCCACCAGCUCCUCGAAGCUGCUGUGUGGCUCCGCCUGCUGCUCGUAGAGGGCUUCCCACCCCAGCUCCAGCAUCCUCUCCAGCUCCCGCAGUGUCUCCUGCUCCCACAGCCUCUGAUCUUCCUCCCGCAGCCUCUCCUGUUCCAGCAUCUCCUCCACUUGGUCCAGCAGCUGCUCCUCCUCCAGCAGCCUCUUCUGCUCCUCCUGUCGCCUCUCCCGUUCCAAAAGCUUCUCCACCUGCUCCAGCAGCCUCUCCUGCUCCCGCA